UAGGCUCAUCCCUGAUUCGAGAGGCAGCAUCUCACUGUGCCACCCCUGGAGGAGCACAGGGAAGGAGAGGCGAGAGGCAGACGCAAAGUCGACGGGGGAGUGGUGGCUGUUGAUCCCGCGCCACAAGGGCGCGAAAAUCUCAGUUGAAAAGAAAACCAUCAUAUUAAGAAGUACUGUCAACUGGUUAACAUUGGACAUGUAGAUCUUGAUGUCUUCUCUGAAUUAUGCUAAUACCUUCAGGUUAUAUUUAAGUGCUUGCUACAAAACGGAAAACCCCGACAAUCAGGAGAGAAGCAAUACCAAGGGUGAACUACUAGUUUACCAAAAGAGGUGUCAUCUGCCCAACCAAAGGAGACCUAUAGAUGCCAGACAAACCAUUAUGGAACAUCAGUGGACAAAAGACUGUUUUCCCAUACAACCAUGAAGAGUGGACAUGCACAAACACUCAUCUCAUCACAGCUUAAACUCAGGAAGGGAAUAAAAAUCCCUCUCAGGAAGAAAUUGUCAUCACUAUGUAGCUUGGAAUUUGAAGAGGGCAAUAUUUCUAACUAUAAGCAAUCCCCAAACUGCUUGGCUUGUGUUAGCUCCAACACACACACAGAGCUUGCACAUUACAGCAGCUUCUAUUACUCUUUAGAACCUAAG